rnacentral:lncRNA from 1 species
GCUAUUGAAAGAUUAUUUCUCAAUUUGACACUCAUGAAUGUUGAUGAUAGAAUAUGAAGGAUUCUUCAAUAUAAAGUAUACCUUGAAUUGGUAGGGCUUAUGCAUCAUUUUCUUGUAUAAAUGAUUAUAUGGUUGAUUGUUGAAUCCUCGGAUCGGUAGGCUAGUGGCACCCUUCCACACGAGCUUAUAAUGAACCUUGGAAUCGGUAGGCCUAUGGCACCUUUCCAUGAAGGUUAAUGAUGAGACUUGAACCGGUAGGCCCAUGGCACCCUUUCAAGAGGAGUUAAUGAGCUUUCCUAAAUGAACCUUGAAACGGUAGGCUUAAAGCACCCUUUCAUGUGUUAAUGAAUGUAUUUUGGAGUUGGUAGGUCAAUGGCACCUCUCAUAUGUGAUAAUGUCAAGAUAACGAACUAUUCUAUGGGAAUGUUGGCUAAGCACCGAGUGGAUUUGGUUAGAUGGAAACUCCCCCAAUAGUUAGGCAUGAGUUUCAAUGAUCGUCUACCUUAUCCCAUAAACUAUGUGCCCGCAUAGGUAGCUAGUGGAUCCAUUAAGCUAUAUAUACCGGUCUUCCUUAGGCAAGUAGACCACCUCUUUACGGUGUGGGGACUUAUGACACCGGAUUCCAUGACAAGCUCUCAUGGUCUAUGUCGGUUAAACGCUUACUUCCCAUCAUGCGAGAUUUCAUUAUGGUUUCUUGAUAGGUUCUACAAAGUGUAGGUAGUAGUAUGGGAUGCUACCUAUACAUUGCACGAGUAGGCUUGGAGAGGGUCAUAGUGAGUUUCUCUAAAUCCUAAUGUAUGUGAUACAAUUGUGGCCUAAAUGAGGUUAUUAAAGAAUGUUGGCUCUCAAAUGCUUAAUAUGAG